rnacentral:rRNA from 1 species
UGGGGAAUAUUGGACAAUGGGCGGAAGCCUGAUCCAGCAACGCCGCGUGAGGGAUGACGGCCUUCGGGUUGUAAACCUCUUUCAGUACCGACGAAGCGGAAGUGACGGUAGGUGCAGAAGAAGCACCGGCCAACUACGUGCCAGCAGCCGCGAUAAUACGUAGGGUGCGAGCGUUGUCCGGAAUUAUUGGGCGUAAAGGGCUCGUAGGCGGUUUGUCGCGUCGGGAGUGAAAACACUGGGCUUAACUCAGUGCUUGCUUCCGAUACGGGCAGACUAGAGGCAUGCAGGGGAGAACGGAAUUCCUGGUGUAGCGGUGAAAUGCGCAGAUAUCAGGAGGAACACCGGUGGCGAAGGCGGUUCUCUGGGCAUGUCCUGACGCUGAGGAGCGAAAGUGUGGGGAGCGAACAGGAUUAGAUACCCUGGUAGUCCACACCGUAAACGUUGGGCGCUAGGUGUGGGGCCUAUUCCAUGGGUUCCGUGCCGCAGCUAACGCAUUAAGCGCCCCGCCUGGGGAGUACGGCCGCAAGGCUAAAACUC